GCCAACAUCGCGUAGUUGGUCAUCGCGUGGGGUUUAAGCCUCAGGACACUACACUUCGGGCAGUUCAUCAGAGCUGCGAUAGAAGUUUUAAUUCCCAUACCGUCAGGUAUCCUGAGUUCGAAUCUCAGUGUUGGCA